rnacentral:rRNA from 1 species
CGGCAGCAGUGGGGAAUAUUGGACAAUGGGCGCAAGCCUGAUCCAGCAAUGCCGCGUGUGUGAAGAAGGCCUGCGGGUUGUAAAGCACUUUUGUUCGGGAAGAAAACGGAUCGGUUAAUACCCGGUUCGGAUGACGGUACCGAAAGAAUAAGCACCGGCUAACUUCGUGCCAGCAGCCGCGGUAAUACGAAGGGUGCAAGCGUUAAUCGGAAUUACUGGGCGUAAAGCGUGCGUAGGCGGCUUUUUAAGUCGGAUGUGAAAUCCCCGGGCUCAACCUGGGAAUGGCAUUCGAUACUGGGGAGCUAGAGUUUGGGAGAGGGUGGUGGAAUUCCCGGUGUAGCGGUGAAAUGCGUAGAGAUCGGGAGGAACAUCAGUGGCGAAGGCGGCCACCUGGCCUAAAACUGACGCUGAGGCACGAAAGCGUGGGGAGCAAACAGGAUUAGAUACCCUGGUAGUCCACGCCCUAAACGAUGAGAACUGGACGUUGGGAGGAAUUCGCCUCUUAGUGUCGAAGCUAACGCGUGAAGUUCUCCGCCUGGGGAGUACGCUCGCAAGAGUGAAACUCAAAGGAAUUGACGG